UACACACAGGCACACUUUCUUUCUCUUCCUUUACUCUCUUUUCUCAUCAGUUUCCUUUUCUCUUUCCAAAUAAAUUAUAACCAAUCACAAACCCUUCAACUUGGCAACUAGCUUUCUCACACAAAACACACACACUCACACUCUCCCUUUUACCUCACCUCUUUCCUUCAACCAUGCUUGCCUAUAUAUACAACACAUCUUACUCUUCUCUCUCUUAAAACUAACUCUCUCCAAUUCCUAUAUUCUCAAUCAAAAACCUAUAUCCACUCUCUUCAACACUUUGAAAUGUUUUAUACUAGUGACCCCAUUUUAUCAUCAGCUUCAUCUUCCUACAACACCUCAUCGCCAGAAUGGGAGAUGCAGUUAGCAGCGAGUUGCCCGAAGAAGCCAGCAGGAAGGAAGAUAUUCAAGGAAACUCGCCACCCGGUGUAUAGGGGCGUGAGGAAGAGGAACUUAGAUAAAUGGGUGUGCGAACUGAGAGAGCCCAACAAGAAGACUAGAAUUUGGCUAGGAACUUUUCCAACGGCCGAGAUGGCAGCCCGAGCCCACGAUGUUGCUGCGAUGGCACUGAGAGGCCGCUAUGCCUGUCUCAAUUUUGCGGACUCGGUGUGGCGACUCCCUAUUCCUGCAACCUCUGAUACAAAAGAUAUACAAAAAGCGGCUACAGAAGCUGCCGAGGCUUUCAGACCAGAUAAAACUUUAGUGAAUAAGAACUUUGACAUCGUUGGACCGGUCAUCAUUGUACCAGACUUUGACAUCGUUGUACCGGUUAUCAUUGUACCGGAUUUUGACAUUGUUGUACCGGUUAUCAUUGUACCGGUCAUGGCGACAGAGAAGUUGAAUAUGUUUUGUAUAGAAGAGGAAGAAGAAGAAGAAGGAGUGAUGAACAUGCCUGAUAUAUGGAGGAAUAUGGCUCUAAUGUCCCCUACACAUAGUUUUGGGGAUCAUGAGUAUGAACAUAUUGAUGUACAAGAUUUUCAAGAUGAUGAUGAGGAUUUUAAAAAACCUGUUACAGUGAUUUGGGCUGUGACUGCAAUUGGAGUUCUUUGGUCAAAUUUUGCAGUAAUAUCAAGGAUCAUGAUCGUUACCAUGACUGCAAACACGCCGAUGUUUGUUUUCAUUUUGGUAACUUUAAGGUGCCCACAUUUCUUUACGAGUGUUAUAGUGUGUGAUACACAGAAAAGUUCAUCAAUACUAAAAGUGGUAGUGGUAAUGGUUUUAUCUAUCAAAUUGUAUUGCAUUUUUUCUUUAUCUUCUUUGCCUAUAAAUUUCUAGGUUUGUUUUUCGCACAUCACUAACUACCAAAAGAGAGAGAAAGCUUCUUCAAGAAUGGGUGAUCAGAAUCAAGAACCCAUUUAUGCGCAAAACCUGUGGAAGUUACGAAAAGCAUGGAUCGAAGAAUAUAGUUAAUUUGCUUUUUUUAAUAAAUUGUGCCUAAAUUUCGCCAGCCUAAAGAGGCUGUGCCGGGCUGUGCACUUUCAGCCCAUCACAUCAAGGUGACAGGAUUCGAACCUAUGGCCCUCUGUACCCAAAACAGAUGCGCUGACCAGACUUGAUAUGUGGGAACAAAAUGAUCAUUUUUUACAAUGUCCCAAAUAUCAUAAUUCACCCCUUCAUUAAAAAAAAAUCUCUUUACCAUAAGCAUAUCCUUGACCAUUGAAAAGAUUGAGCUUAGUUUAAUGAAUUUUUGAAGUCAUCUUUUCUCUUGAGACAAUAUUUAGUCUCCAAAAAAGAGUCAGGCUCAAAUACCACAUGAUUACCAAGUGACUUCAAACAUAAGAAAGUGUGAGAAUUGUGAUAUAAAUAUUUUCAAAAUUUUGAUUGAAUAAAAAUGAUUUUUGAGAAGUUUUUAAAAGACAGUUAGAUGAAGAAGAAAAGAAGAAGAAGAAGAAGAAGAUAAUUGAUAAUUGAUAAUAGGAGAUGGGAAAAUAAAGAGUAAAGUUAUUAAGAAAAACACCCAAAAUUUAUCCUAUUUCAACCUGAAACAACUAAGAGUUCCACUAACAAUUGAGAUUUUAUCCUAAGUCUAGCCCCGAAGGAUAACACCUUCAAAUUUCCACUAACAGAUGAGAUUUUACUACAGGUUCUGCCCACGGCAUCUUACACAAAGCUUUUAUCUCACUUUCAACUUACAACCUUUAUAUUAUAUCAGUUCAAGAUACAUAACUCUCUUGGUUUUACAAUUACAUUUCUAAAGUUACAGUAGCAACACUAUGCCAAAUUUGUCUUUUAGCAGCACCCCUACGAAAGCGCUUUUGGAAAAAGCGCUGGCAUAGGCUUCACUAAAAACAAAAUUAAAAAACACGCUAAAAAAACAUUAAAAAAGCGCUGGUAUAGGGAAUGUCUACAAAAGCGCUUUUCAAAAGCGCUGGUAUAGCCCACCUUACGAAAGCGCUUUGUAAAAGCGCUGAUAUAGGGGUAGAUAUGAAAGCGCUUCAAAAAGCGCUGGUAUAGGUAUAGGGUACGAAAGCGCUUUUAGCGAAAAAGCGCUGGUAUAAGGUUACCUAUGAAAGCGCUUUUGAAAAGCGCUGACGUAGGUCAUUUUAAAAUUAAAUUUUUUAAAACAAAUUAAAACAGACGCGUUUUGUCUUUCAUUAUUUCAUCGUUCUCACUGUUCUUCACUGCCCUCACUGUUCUCUUCUUCAUCGUUCAUCCUUAACAAAACCGACCACCACUCAACGUCUAUCGUCGCCGCCAACCUCCACAACACCGACCACCACUCAACAUCUUCUCGCCGCCGCCGUCGUUCUCGCUGAGCAGUUUCACUUUUUGAAGGGGAUAUUAAAGAUAUUGAAGUCUCUGGUUUCUACUUGUACAACGCCGAUUCAAACCUACCCAUCUCCCACAUCAAGUCUAACUCAGGUUAAAUGGCUCCGAAUAGAGAUGCUCCACCUGAAAACUCACAAGAAA